rnacentral:misc_RNA from 1 species
ACCGAAGCCCGUACCCGCCUCCGGGCGUGAUGGGUGGCUGGUAUCCUCCUUCUGAGGGGUGUAUGGCGCAGCGUGGGCCGGCUUUCGGGUCGCGAACUCCCACUGUUGCGGCGGACCAUCCCUUGGGCAACUCAGUGGGGGCAAUUGGAUAGCUCGCAGGCAUCUUUGGCGGCCUCGGCCCUGGAGGUGGCUCGGGCUGGGCGCUGGGCUUCGGUUCACGCCCCGACCUUCUAACGCAUUCCGACCCGUCUUCAUUGAGGGUUGCCGGUGGCCUUUCAUCCUUCGGGGUGGACGGCUUCCCGGUUAAGAUAGUUACCUGGUUGAUUCUGCCAGUAGUCAUAUGCUUGUCUCAA